rnacentral:rRNA from 1 species
UACGUAGGGGGCAAGCGUUGUCCGGAUUUAUUGGGCGUAAAGAGCGUGUAGGCGGCCAGACAGGUCCGUUGUGAAAACUCGAGCUCAACCUCGAGACGCCGAUGGAAACCGUCUGGCUAGAGUCCGGAAGAGGAGAGUGGAAUUCCUGGUGUAGCGGUGAAAUGCGCAGAUAUCAGGAAGAACACCCGUGGCGAAGGCGGCUCUCUGG